rnacentral:tRNA from 1 species
GGAGGUGUAGCUCAGUGGUAGAGUGCGUGCUUAGCAUGCACGAGGUCCUGGGUUCAAUCCCUGGUACCUCUG